AAGGAUCAUUAUAAAAUUUUUCUACAUAUUUGUAAAAAAUUUAUAUACAAAACUUGUAUUCAAAACCCACACUCUUUUAAACCCAUAUAAAAAAAUUUAUGUUCAUAUACAUAAUUUUUUUAUAAUAUAUUAUUUAUAUAAUAAAUAAUAAAAAGACAACUUUCAACAACGGAUCUCUUGGCUCUC
rnacentral:misc_RNA from 1 species